GAUGAACGCUGGCGGUAUGCUUAACACAUGCAAGUCGAACGGACUCUUCGGAGUUAGUGGCGGACGGGUGAGUAACGCGUGAGAAUCUGGCUUUGGGUUCGGGACAACCACUGGAAACGGUGGCUAAUACCGGAUGUGCCGAGAGGUAAAAGAGAAAUUGCCUGAAGAUGAGCUCGCGUCUGAUUAGCUAGUUGGUGAGGUAAAGGCUCACCAAGGCAGCGAUCAGUAGCUGGUCUGAGAGGAUGACCAGCCACACUGGGACUGAGACACGGCCCAGACUCCUACGGGAGGCAGCAGUGGGGAAUUUUCCGCAAUGGGCGAAAGCCUGACGGAGCAAUACCGCGUGAGGGGAGAAGGCUCUUGGGUUGUAAACCUCUUUUCUUAGGGAAGAACAAAAUGACGGUACCUAAGGAAUCAGCAUCGGCUAACUCCGUG
rnacentral:rRNA from 1 species